GACGAACGCUGGCGGCGUGCUUAACACAUGCAAGUCGAACGGAAAGGCCCUGCUUUUGUGGGGUGCUCGAGUGGCGAACGGGUGAGUAACACGUGAGUAACCUGCCCUUGACUUUGUGAUAACUUCAGGAAACUGGUGCUAAUACCGGAUAGGAGCUCCUGCUGCAUGGUGGGGGUUGGAAAGUUUCGGCGGUUGGGGAUGGACUCGCGGCUUAUCAGCUUGUUGGGGGGGUAGUGGCUUACCAAGGCUUUGACGGGUAGCCGGCCUGAGAGGGUGACCGGCGACAUUGGGACUGAGAUACGGCGCAGACUCCUACGGGAGGCAGCAGUGGGGAAUAUUGCACAAUGGGCGGAAGCCUGAUGCAGAAACGCCGCGUGCGGGAUGACGGCCUUCGGGUUGUAAACCGCUUUAGCCUGUGACGAAGCGUGAGUGACGGUAAUGGGUAAAGAAGCACCGGCUAACUACGUG
rnacentral:rRNA from 1 species